AUUGAACGCUGGCGGCAUGCCUUACACAUGCAAGUCGAACGGUAACAGGUCUUCGGAUGCUGACGAGUGGCGAACGGGUGAGUAAUACAUCGGAACGUGCCCGAUCGUGGGGGAUAACGAGGCGAAAGCUUUGCUAAUACCGCAUACGAUCUACGGAUGAAAGCGGGGGAUCUUCGGACCUCGCGCGGACGGAGCGGCCGAUGGCAGAUUAGGUAGUUGGUGGGAUAAAAGCUUACCAAGCCGACGAUCUGUAGCUGGUCUGAGAGGAUGAUCAGCCACACUGGGACUGAGACACGGCCCAGACUCCUACGGGAGGCAGCAGUGGGGAAUUUUGGACAAUGGGCGAAAGCCUGAUCCAGCCAUGCCGCGUGCAGGAUGAAGGCCUUUGGGUUGUAAACUGCUUUUGUACGGAACGAAAAGCCUCUUUCUAAUAAAGAGGGGUCAUGACGGUACCGUAAGAAUAAACACCGGCUAACUACGU
rnacentral:rRNA from 1 species